UGUUGAUGAGUUGAUAGACUUAAAACAAAUCAAACCAUAUUCUUAUCCUCUUUCUUUCUUUGCUCGGGUAGGAGAAAGCCAAGGAAAAUAAUACCUAAACACUAAAACUCAGACCCUAAUUCUCCCUUUGUUCAUCUAAGAAUUUAAUUAGAAGAAGGAUUCUAUUACAAGAUUUAGAAGGACCGAGAUCGUCAAGCAUUUCUCCACUCGGGUUGACCAGCAUGGAAGAGUUUGGAUUAAAGGUAAUGACAGUGACUUGGAUGACUGGUUAGGCUUAUUAAGGUUACUUUAAGGCAAUAAUGGAAAAUGGUUACCUUAUAAGGUGAUGUCAGAGAACAGAGCUGUAGCGUCAAUCACACUCCCCAACAUCUGUAACCUCACGUGUUUGCUCACAUUUUUCACAAUUUCAAUCAUGGUUCUUUAUUUUAUAGACAUUUCAGUAUACUGCAUAGCAAUGUUAUUUUGUUAUUGUAUACUAUAUUUUUUAUUUUUAAAAAAUGUGUUUGCAUAUUAUAGGAAUGUUAUAUAUGUACUUUUUUCAUAUAAUUAGGAUAUAUUUUCAGUUUUUGAGUGUAUUGUUGAAAUAACUUUUUGUUAGAGUAUAUUUUUGUAUUUA